rnacentral:lncRNA from 1 species
GAGUGGAGGCAACUCACUAUUUGGUUUGUUUUAAAUUUAGUUUUAUUUUCAUUUAUUAUUGAUUCUUUGUUUUCUAAUGAUUUCAGGUGAAAAAAAAAGCUGGAUGAACAGUAACGACGGUACCAUAGCAACCGCACUGUAUCAUCGAUCGACACUGUAGCAAACAAAUCGCUCGACACUGUUGCAGAAAAUCGGGAGUUACUGUAGCAGCGUCACUGUUCAUCAGAAAAAAAAUUGAAUUGUUUUUAUUAGUUAUCUAUUACUAACUUGUAGUGUUUUAUUUAUGUUAGGUAAAAAAAAAAUAUCCGAGGAAGACGAGUUUGCAAGAGGAUCGACGAUGGCUGCGCAACAUCGA